AUUUUGUCUUCCAUUUCUGUUUCUAUUUACUCCCAUUCUUUCAGUCUCAAUUCUUAUGCUUCCAUUACAGGGAAGGUCAAAAAUGCCUCUGCCUGCAGGCCUGCUUUGUUAAACUUUGAUGUUCUCCAGAUGUUCAGCAAGGGAUUUAUGUAACUACGACAGAAUUUGGGCCAUAUUUCUCUGUUUUCCUCUGAGCAAACUCUCCUCAUUUGAGACUGUGCUGAUUCACAGCCCUUCACGGGAUGAUGAUGUCUUGAGGAGAGGGACAUCACUGAGGCUGCUUUAUCAGUCCAUUGAGACUCCCAGAUACAUACCCUACAAGCAACAAACAAAAAUAACAGCAGCACAGCAGGCUGGGGCAGCUCCUCAGAGGCACUGUCCUGGAUGGCACAGGAAUGCUGGAGAACACAGGACCAUGGUGGUGAUGUUCCAUGAACCAGUUUCCCUGGUCCAUAGGAAACCUUGAUCUGCAUGGAGCCCCUGUGGAGGGACUGGGCUCCAAGGCUGGGGCUACGAUGUUGAGUUGAGAGAAAAGAGGAGGGAUGGACACUUGAUGAGAUUGGAGCCCAAGCCAUGAAGGGGCAGGCGCAAAUCUCUUGGGACCUGUAGCAAUGAAAAGCUCUGGAAGGCAUGUGGAAGAAGGGAAGCUGCAACCAAGUGGCUCAGCAGUUGCCUCUCCAAGAAGCUAAGAGUGGACUCCAAGGACUGUUGAUAUACCUCCAAAGACAGUAAUUGUUGCUGUUCAUUUUCUAUUUCAUUGUCUUUCCUCUUCAUUUAAACACUUUCUUACCCACGUGACUUUUUGGGUGUGAAGAAAAUCAGUUCACAAACUGUAGGCUGGCAAAAGGAGUCACUAAGACAAUCAAAACAAUUCUGGAGAAACUCGAGCCACUGUAAGUAGACUUUUCAGUCUGCCUAGUGACAGCUGUUUUUGCUUGCAACUUGAUAUGCAACUGCACGUCUUCAUCUACAUGCUAACCCUGAUCUGGCAGGGAGCAACCAACACACAGUAGGGGCAUUGGAAAUGGAUGGACUUUAAGGUUCCUUCCAAUCCUGGCUGUUCUGUGGUUCUAUGAUUCCAUGACUUUAUGGAGAUCCUCAGUUCUGCUAAGAGAUGAGGUUCUGCCAUGAACCUGAGGUGUCACAGGGAAAGUUUUAAAAAUUUUGACUCUAAGCCAGUCCAACUCCUGGAAAUGGAGCAUGACACAACCAACCAGAGGCUCAUCCUCAUUGCAGGGACAGCCAGGACCAUAUAGAAACUAGAGGGGUGCUCACAGGGGAGGUCCAUACGUGUUGACCUUCAGGCCAAGGGGACAGCCAGUGCCAUCAGUCUGAUCCUCACAUGGGAGCUGCUAAGAAAGACUCCUGGAGACCUAAGAGCCUUCAAACCUUCUGUAAAGCACCCUGAGACCACUACAUGGUCUUUCCAGUGGAAGCUGAAGUAUAUGGCUCAACUCAUCCACGUGAAAUAUCCAGUGGCCAUCUCAGCAGAAUGUUGCUCCUCAUCCCAUCCAUCACAGGAAACACUGUUCAUCUUUGUCCUUCAUCCCUCUGGUGAUGUUGGAGUUUAACAUGCAAGCCAUUGAAUCAAGUGCAAAAUACAGCUGGGGAAUCUCUUCUUGAUAGUAAUGUAUUAAAAGGGAAAAAGAAGGAAAUAGCAGAAGCUGGAGGCAAUGCAGACACAUUUUACCCCUGUUAUGUGUCUGGAGAAAUUUUUUAUUCUUUUCUGGACAAAGGCAAUUUUUCCUUACAG
ensembl:lncRNA